rnacentral:rRNA from 1 species
UCCGUAGUGACCUGCGGAGGAUCAUAGUGACUGACCGGCGUCUGUCGUCAGUCAUUGCUGUCCCAGAUCCUCCCUCAUGCGGGCUAUACACCUGCUUGAUCGAUCUGGGGGUCACCUCUUGGCCUGGCGUGCUCUCGCCUCACCGGGGAGUAGGCCCGCGGGCCGAAACCCGGGAACCCACGACCGUGAACCCGUCGUCCUCGGACGUCACACGCACAACUCCCGUGGUGUAGAAAGUGAUAGACAUAAACAGUAUAACUGUCAGCAACGGAUCUCUUGGCUCUCGCAUCGAUGAAGAACGCAGCGAAUUGCGAUAAGUAAUGUGAAUUGCAGAAUUCAGUGAAUCAUCGAAUCUUUGAACGCGCCUUGCACCCUCUGGUAUUCCGGAGGGUAUGCCUGUCUGAGUGUCCGAACACGAUCGGUCCCCGGGGGUCACCCCGAGGGGUCGGAAUUGGGCGUCGCCUUGCACCAGGCUCGCCUCAAAGUCAUCGGCGGCGGAAGGCCCCGGUCCUGCGUGAUACGUUUCGCCCGACCGGGGGUCUGGAUGCCUCCUCGAACCCGCCACGCUUUCCGUGUGGAUCUGAACGAGUUACCUCAGAUCAGGUAGGACUACCCGCCGAACUUAAGCAUAUCAAUAAGCGGAGGA